rnacentral:rRNA from 1 species
UACAGAGGUCCCAAGCGUUGUUCGGAUUCAUUGGGCGUAAAGGGUGCGUAGGCGGCGCGGUAAGUCGGGUGUGAAAUCUCGGAGCUUAACUCCGAAACUGCAUUCGAUACUGCCGUGCUUGAGGACUGGAGAGGAGACUGGAAUUUACGGUGUAGCGGUGAAAUGCGUAGAUAUCGUAAGGAAGACCAGUGGCGAAGGCGGGGUCUCUGGACAGUUCCUGACGCUGAGGCACGAAGGCCAGGGGGAGCAAAACGGGGAUUAGAAA